rnacentral:misc_RNA from 1 species
AAGAAUUGCCCCGUCUUCUCGAAGAUGGGUUCUAUUCCAAACCGUGUUUACAUACCUUUGUUGCUUUGGCGGGCCGCCGUUUCGGCGUUGGCUCCGGCUGACUGCGCCCGCCGGGGGACCCAAACUCUUGUAUUUCUUACUUUGCAUGUCUGAGUGGAAUCAUAAACAAAUGAAUCA